UACGAAGGGUGCAAGCGUUGUUCGGAAUUACUGGGCGUAAAGGGCGCGUAGGCGGCUUACCAAGUCAGGCGUGAAAUUCCCGGGCUCAACCUGGGGGCUGCGCUUGAUACUGGUGAGCUUGAAUGCGGGAGAGGAUAGUGGAAUUCCCAGUGUAGAGGUGAAAUUCGUAGAUAUUGGGAAGAACACCGGUGGCGAAGGCGGCUAUCUGGCCCGUAAUUGACGCUGAGGCGCGAAAGCGUGGGGAGCAAACGGG
rnacentral:rRNA from 1 species